GCGGGAUUAGUUAAAUGGUAUAACUUCAGUUUUCCAAACUGAAAUCGGGAGUUCGAUUCCCCCAUCCCGCACUA
rnacentral:tRNA from 1 species